rnacentral:rRNA from 1 species
AUUGAACGCUGGCGGCAGGCCUAACACAUGCAAGUCGAGCGGAUGAAGGGAGCUUGCUCCUGGAUUCAGCGGCGGACGGGUGAGUAAUGCCUAGGAAUCUGCCUGGUAGUGGGGGAUAACGUCCGGAAACGGGCGCUAAUACCGCAUACGUCCUGAGGGAGAAAGUGGGGGAUCUUCGGACCUCACGCUAUCAGAUGAGCCUAGGUCGGAUUAGCUAGUUGGUGGGGUAAAGGCCUACCAAGGCGACGAUCCGUAACUGGUCUGAGAGGAUGAUCAGUCACACUGGAACUGAGACACGGUCCAGACUCCUACGGGAGGCAGCAGUGGGGAAUAUUGGACAAUGGGCGAAAGCCUGAUCCAGCCAUGCCGCGUGUGUGAAGAAGGUCUUCGGAUUGUAAAGCACUUUAAGUUGGGAGGAAGGGCAGUAAGUUAAUACCUUGCUGUUUUGACGGCACCAACAGAAUAAGCACCGGCUAACUUCGUG